UCCUUUCUGCGCGGCCCCGCCCUAAAGAAAGCGGAGUCAGCUCAUCUCAGGGCGACUUCCUCACUGUGAGUCGCCUCUGCUCACCAAAUUCAGGUGUGAACACAGGCUGUCACGACUCCACAGUGCCUGCGAGACGCAGCCCAGACCUCAGACCUUAGCCUGUCCGCCGUUCUGGUCCUUCCAGGCCUCUUGUUGAGGGCCCAGCGCCUGGCUUCGUGCUCGGAGAUGGACCGUGUCCCCGCGCCCCGCCCCCUGUCCUGAGAUAGACCGUGCCCCAGCACAAGCUGAGGGGACGCAGCCAGCACCUGCACCCUGGCCUGGCACGUCCUACGGGGACCUGAAAACUCCCUACAGAUGUUAAUAUCUGCUGAGCAACCGAACGCGCUCUCAUAGAUGCACAGAGGAACCGACCGCCGCAGCUGUCUGCAGAAGUUCGUGUUGUGCGUGGUCAAGUAGAUGGGCAGGCUUUGGAGGGAGAGGUCCUUGGUGAACGGACUCCUGAUUCGUCCGACACCGAAGGCCUUGCUUGUGUGUCAGGUGUCUAUUUAACAGUUUGCGUGGCGUCCUGUAAAUGCAGUUUCGUCCAGUCGGCAAGCACAGCAGCCUGAGAGGCUGAUCUAGUUCAGCCUGGGGACCUGCGCAUGAGUGUCAUGGGUUCACGCCGACACACAUAUAAAAAUAAACAUUCGAGAAGAAAAGAAAAACUGAUCUAAAGGACAGGUUACAGACUUGAGUUUUGUGUUCGGCCUCCCAGGUUCCGGGUCAGUAUUUCCAUUUUGGUUUCCUGUCAGCACACAGAGCAUCCCCUAACUAGGCUGCGCUAACUAAAGGAUGUUAGGGAACUCUCUUGGGUAUUUUUUAAGUUCCCAUUAAGUAUUUAUAUUAAUUUGAUUUGGAUUAAAUCAGUAUCAUAAAGACUGUGGUAUUUACAUUUCCUUGACUAAAGCAAAGUAUCCAUAGACAUAUGAAAUAAAAACAAUAGUAGCAACAACAUAAA
rnacentral:lncRNA from 1 species